AGGGGGCGAGGGGGCCCUGUGG
rnacentral:miRNA from 1 species